GUGCCAGCCGCCGCGGUAAGACGGAGGGUGCAAACGUUGUUCGGAAUCACUGGGCGUAAAGGGCGCGCAGGCGGACUCGUAAGUCGGGAGUGAAAACUCGGGGCUCAACCCCGAGCCUGCUUCCGAAACUGCGAGUCUUGAGGACCGGAGAGGAAGGCGGAAUUCCCAGUGUAGCGGUGGAAUGCGUAGAUAUUGGGAAGAACACCAGUGGCGAAGGCGGCCUUCUGGACGGUACCUGACGCUGAGGCGCGAAAGCUAGGGGAGCAAACAGGAUUAGAAACCCGCGUAGUCC
rnacentral:rRNA from 1 species